UCGUUCAUUUUUCCGCGCUAAAAUUCACUACCGCGAUGUUUAUGACAACCAGAUGUCAAAGUUGUGGGCGUUUUUGAUCCAUGCAGUGAUUUCACCCAUCCCUUGGUAAUAGUCUAGCGGAUAGGAUCCACUUUGGCAAACACUUGGAAGCCGGCAUUGCUGAAAAGAAGCUGAUCCUGCAAAACGCUCCGUUCUUUCCGACCACUGAUCUCGGCGCUUGACAACUGAAUUUAAAAAAUCAAUUGAUGGUUUUCACUUGAUAUGCGUAAAAAACCACUAGACCAGAAGAAGAUGUAGAUACGGCACAGCCAAAGGGAAGAAUUUAAAUCGCAGCUGCUGGUGCUUGAAUCGCUGGAGCUUGAAUCGCUGGAGCUUGAAUCGCUGGAGCUUGAAUCGUUGGAGCUUGAAUCACUGGAGCUUGAAUCGCUGGAG
rnacentral:lncRNA from 1 species